CAACUGUGCAGAGUUCUCAUGAAUAAUGAGAUACACAAGAUACAUUUUUUUUUAUUGUCUGGCAAAUAGGUGCUCAACAAAUGUAAGAUAUUUUUAUUAGCUAGAAUUUGUGUAGAAGGUAUGUGAGUUAGAAUUUAAUCUCUUACCUAGGGCUUAAUUAAAUCUGCAAUUUGUAGGCAUCAAUGGACACGCAAUUUGAAGCCAUCUUGAAAGCACGGGUGAAAAUACACUGUAUGAAAAGCUCUGGAGCCAUCAGGACUUCACAAGUACAACAGAGCAUCCCAUGACAACAGAGCCAACUUGGAAGUACUGUUCAUUGCCAUCGCAGAUUAAUUAUCAACUCCACUGCCUGCUCUUCAAGACUUGGGACCUUCAGAAAUGAAUCAAAUAUUAGAAAAUAUAAAGUUGGCUUCUGUUUACACCCCUGCUCAUUUCUACCUCUGUGGAUUGGAAGAUAAGAAAGCCAAAUUUCUUGCUCCCCAGGGUACCACUGAAGAUUCAUAUCCAUGGAACAGAGUCCAAUUAUAACAUUUCCUGAGAUUCUGAAAGUCUUAUGUGAUCAAGCUGAGAUUUUUUUGAUUGGGAUUGAGCUCCAUUAACCUUUCUCAAAGAGAAGGAAUCUUUUUGCACUGUGCUAAGGGACUCUACCCAUAUAAGUCAGCAUGUGACUUGCCAGGUAAAAGAACUAUGUGUGGAAUACUUCAACAAAAUCUAUCCUUUCAAAUACCGUAUUUAUUAAUGAGUAGCAAUAAAAGAAUGAAAAUUAGUUUUCA
rnacentral:lncRNA from 1 species